AUUGAACGCUGGCGGAAUGCUUUACACAUGCAAGUCGAGCGGCAGCGCGGGGGCAACCCUGGCGGCGAGCGGCGAACGGGUGAGUAACAUAUCGGAACGUACCCCGUCGUGGGGGAUAACACAGCGAAAGCUGUGCUAAUACCGCAUACGACCUGAGGGUGAAAGCGGGGGAUCGCAAGACCUCGCGCGAUGGAGCGGCCGAUGCCGGAUUAGCUAGUUGGUGAGGUAAAGGCUCACCAAGGCGACGAUCCGUAGCUGGUCUGAGAGGACGACCAGCCACACUGGAACUGAGACACGGUCCAGACUCCUACGGGAGGCAGCAGUGGGGAAUUUUGGACAAUGGGCGCAAGCCUGAUCCAGCCAUUCCGCGUGAGUGAAGAAGGCCUCGGUGUUAAAGGACUCUUUCGUCAAGGAAAGAAAACUUAAUCUCCUAAUACGAGGUGAGGUUGACGGUA
rnacentral:rRNA from 1 species